AACGAACGCUGGCGGCAUGCCUAACACAUGCAAGUCGAACGAGACCUUCGGGUCUAGUGGCGCACGGGUGCGUAACGCGUGGGAACCUGCCCUUAGGUUCGGAAUAACUCCCCGAAAGGGGUGCUAAUACCGGCUAAUGUCUUCGGACCAAAGAUUUAUCGCCUUUGGAUGGGCCCGCGUUGGAUUAGCUAGUUGGUAGGGUAAAAGCCUACCAAGGCGACGAUCCAUAGCUGGUCUGAGAGGAUGAUCAGCCACACUGGGAGUGAGACACGGCCCAGACUCCUACGGGAGGCAGCAGUGGGGAAUAUUGGAAAAUGGGCGAAAGCCUGAUCCAGCAAUGCCGCGUGAGUGAUGAAGGCCUUAGGGUUGUAAAGCUCUUUUACCCGGGAUGAUAAUGACAGUACCGGGAGAAUAAGCUCCGGCUAACUCCGUG
rnacentral:rRNA from 1 species